rnacentral:tRNA from 1 species
GGCAAGAUAACUAAGCACCAAAGUAAUAGAAAUUUUAAAUCUAUAAUCGGAAUUUCAUCUCCUCUUGCUU